UAGUGGCGAACGGGUGAGUAACACGUGGGCAAUCUGCCCUUCACUCUGGGACAAGCCCUGGAAACGGGGUCUAAUACCGGAUAACACCUGCCCGGGCAUCCGGGUGGGUUAAAAGCUCCGGCGGUGAAGGAUGAGCCCGCGGCCUAUCAGCUUGUUGGUGAGGUAGUGGCUCACCAAGGCGACGACGGGUAGCCGGCCUGAGAGGGCGACCGGCCACACUGGGACUGAGACACGGCCCAGACUCCUACGGGAGGCAGCAGUGGGGAAUAUUGCACAAUGGGCGAAAGCCUGAUGCAGCGACGCCGCGUGAGGGAUGACGGCCUUCGGGUUGUAAACCUCUUUCAGCAGGGAAGAAGCGAAAGUGACGGUACCUGCAGAAGAAGCGCCGGCUAACUACGUGCCAGCAGCCGCGGUAAUACGUAGGGCGCAAGCGUUGUCCGGAAUUAUUGGGCGUAAAGAGCUCGUAGGCGGCUUGUCACGUCGGGUGUGAAAGCCCGGGGCUUAACCCCGGGUCUGCAUUCGAUACGGGCUAGCUAG
rnacentral:rRNA from 1 species